GAUGAACGCUGGCGGCGUGCUUAACACAUGCAAGUCGAACGAUGAAGCCCAGCUUGCUGGGUGGAUUAGUGGCGAACGGGUGAGUAACACGUGAGUAACCUGCCCUUAACUCUGGGAUAAGCCUGGGAAACUGGGUCUAAUACCGGAUAGGAGCGCCUACCGCAUGGUGGGUGUUGGAAAGAUUUAUCGGUUUUGGAUGGACUCGCGGCCUAUCAGCUUGUUGGUGAGGUAAUGGCUCACCAAGGCGACGACGGGUAGCCGGCCUGAGAGGGUGACCGGCCCCACUGGGACUGAGACACGGCCCAGACUCCUACGGGAGGCAGCAGUGGGGAAUAUUGCACAAUGGGCGAAAGCCUGAUGCAGCGACGCCGCGUGAGGGAUGACGGCCUUCGGGUUGUAAACCUCUUUCAGUAGGGAAGAAGCGAAAGUGACGGUACCUGCAGAAGAAGCACCGGCUAACUACGUG
rnacentral:rRNA from 1 species